AUUGAACGCUGGCGGCAUGCCUUACACAUGCAAGUCGAACGGUAACGCGGGGCAACCUGGCGACGAGUGGCGAACGGGUGAGUAAUGCAUCGGAUCGUGCCUGGUAGUGGGGGAUAACUGCUCGAAAGAGCAGCUAAUACCGCAUACGACCUGAGGGUGAAAGGGGGGGAUCGCAAGACCUCUCGCUAUCAGAGCGGCCGAUGUCGGAUUAGCUAGUUGGUGGGGUAAAGGCCCACCAAGGCAACGAUCCGUAGCUGGUCUGAGAGGACGACCAGCCACACUGGGACUGAGACACGGCCCAGACUCCUACGGGAGGCAGCAGUGGGGAAUUUUGGACAAUGGACGCAAGUCUGAUCCAGCCAUGCCGCGUGCGGGAAGAAGGCCUUCGGGUUGUAAACCGCUUUUGUCAGGGAAGAAAUCUUCUGGGUUAAUACCUCGGGAGGAUGACGGUACCUGAAGAAUAAGCACCGGCUAACUACGUGCCAGCAGCCGCCGUAACAC
rnacentral:rRNA from 1 species